rnacentral:lncRNA from 1 species
CCUUCCUUCUUGCUGAAUUCUUUAAACUUGGAUGAAUAGAAUUCCAAACCGUUGUCGGUCCUUAAUCUCUUGAUCUUCUUUUCAAUUUGUUUCUCAACCAUGACCUUCCACUACUUGAAAUAAUUGAACACUUCAUUCUUACUUUUCAGAAAAAAUAAGUUCAGUCAUCAGACAUCUCAGUAACUAAAACCUCACAAGUUGAUAGACAGA